rnacentral:rRNA from 1 species
CCUACGGGAGGCAGCAGUGAGGAAUAUUGGUCAAUGGGCGGAAGCCUGAACCAGCCAAGUAGCGUGCAGGAUGACGGCCCUACGGGUUGUAAACUGCUUUUAUACGGGAAUAACGCGCCUUACGUGUAGGGCUUUGCAUGUACCGUAUGAAUAAGGACCGGCUAAUUCCGUGCCAGCAGCCGCGGUAAUACGGAAGGUCCGGGCGUUAUCCGGAUUUAUUGGGUUUAAAGGGAGCGUCGGCCGCAUGUCAAGCGUGCUGUGAAAUGUCCGGGCUCAACCCGGGCCUUGCAGCGCGAACUGGCGGGCUUGAGUGCGCGGAAGGGAGGUGGAAUUCGUCGUGUAGCGGUGAAAUGCUUAGAUAUGACGAAGAACCCCGAUGGCGAAGGCAGCUUGCUGCAGCGGAACUGACGCUGAUGCUCGAAAGCGUGGGGAUCGAACAGGAUUAGAUACCCGAGUAGUC